rnacentral:lncRNA from 1 species
UUUUAAACGUACGUGCCGCGCAAGUAAAUUACGAAACGAAUCGGUCUUUAUUUGUUUCUGUUCGAAUUUUACAAGCAAUAAACAGCUCUCGUAGAAGCAACUCUGUCGACCGCACAGAAAUUUAAUGCAACUGACCGAGCAAGCGCUGGAUCGGAAAUGGUGAACGUGGCUCCCUGUGGAUUUGCCGCGUGUUUACAGAGCUACCGCACAUUUAAUGGUCCUGACGACAAUUUUUCAAUCAUCCAGGAACAGCUUCCGAUAUGGGUUUUAUGAUGUGGAUGAUUAAUGCCAAAGAUGUUAUCAGCAGAUUCUUACGAUUCAUUUGGCGGAUAUUGCUCGAAGCAUGAUAAGCGAAGAGAAGAUAUUUCGAUCACCAUUUUUUUUAUUUAACGCGGCAAGUCGAAGGAACAUGAAUGCCUCGUGUCAAAAGGUGAAGGCGAACGAAAUGGAUUUUCCGUUUUUAUGACGUUGUGAGAAAACGAUCUUUCAGUUGAUUAUUGUACCGAAGUCAAUUGACCUUACUUCGCCACUACCUAUCACUUUACUCGAGGUUCGAGGGUCGAAAAAUCGCGAUUAGAAAAACAAUUGCCUAUUUAUGUUUGAUAUUUAUUCAUGCCUUCGUUGGAGAAUCGAGUCUCGUAAGGAUAGACAUCUGGAUAGACAACAUUAAUUGACGAUUAAUAAUCGAGUCAGGCGUGCAAUAAAAUGAAGGACAAAUAAGAAGAAAGAAAGAAAGUAAGGUGUAUUUCGUUGGAAAGUAGUUGCACCAGGAAUGCGAGCUGGAAUGAUUUACGAUUCUUUGCAAGUCAUAAAAACAUCAGCUAUAAGGGAUGGAAAGUUUUUUGCGAAGAUUUGAAAGAAAAUUUACGAUGUGCUCUCAGGUUUCGAUAUAGUGGAACAGUACCUUUAAUUACGAGAUUGAAUGAAGUUACAUUUGGUCUUACGGAUCGCAGAAUCUAUAAAUGAUCUGUCUACGUUAAAUUAUCAAAAAAACUAUAUAAUUUUCGAUUAAUUGAGGGGUAUUUCUUUUGGGAAAGAAAUAGUCGAUCACAGCAUGCAAUUUGUAACUGAUUCAAAGUACUCGAUAUUGAUGAACAAAUUAUGAUUAACGUCGUGAAAAAAGAGAUAGUUAAAAGUUUAAAAAAUGAACAAUAAGAAAAGUACUCACCUUCUUACGAUGCGGACAGCAAGAAGAUCCAUUGCCCAUGGUUCGAUCCUUCAAACAGCGAAAGAAUCAACCUUCACACUAAUUCAUAACACUUCAACAUAAUUCUAAAAUUUUCUUUGCACAAUCAUCAAUUUUCUUUCUUUCUUCAUGGCUGUUGAGAAAAUUGCAGGUUUAUUAUCGCGUUGGUAUUCGAGCCAACCAUUUUAUCAAUAGUCGCUUUUGUUAACAAUCUUCUGAAUCUCGAGAUCACCUUCUCGUAAGUUUUAUAUCUGAUCUGACGAAAAAGGUAAUCAAAGAAUAUAUCAUACAAUUUUCCUCUUGCAAACUUAUUUCUUCAUUUCUCAUUUUCUUUUAUAGGUUUCUUUAAAUUUUCCUCAUACUGAUGAUCAAUAGGAUCAACGUGAAGUCUUGAGUAGAUGAAGUAAAGAAACGAGCGGAGAAAAGAGCAGUGGCAAGUGGCAGUACGGUGAAAUGACCGCAAGAAAUCGAAGAAGCCUUAGUAAUUCAGAGAAAUGGAUGAGCUGACAGUAAUGUUCCGAUAAUAUGGAUUACUGUGUCAACUGUGCAGCUCGUGGAAGUAUAGAGUUUCGUCGCGCAACAUCUUCCUGGAUGUGAAAUUAAUUAACCGUCGAACAGUCAAAUAUCCGAAGAAAGCAAUUCGAUAAAGUCAGUGAUUCCUUCGCUCGAGAUCGACGAUUCCUCCCUUCAGGAAGAUCAAUUAGAACUCCAGAAACGGAGAAGUUCGUUUCGAAUCGAAUUGGUCACCGUUUAACUUUUGUUUUUUCGAUUUUUUUUCUUUUGUUUCCGCUCGCUUUUUUGAAAUUCGUGCGCGGAACAGAUCGGUUGUUAGGAAUCGAGCGAUAAGACUUCUCGUUUUGACCUCUCGAUGCGGGAAUAUGGAAGCGCUAAUGAGUGUCAAGAGGUUGGCCAAGUCGAAAAUAGAAUCUGACGUGCUCCGUAAGAAUUUUUUUUAAUAUCGUCUCGACGGAUCGUCAACGACGUUGCGAUCCGAGCCAUUUCGAUCGUUUCAAUCGUUCCACUUUGCUAUAAAGUUUUUAACGAUAAGAUAAGUUCACAAGAAUAGAAGAUAAUUUCACGAUCACUUAGAUUUCGAUAAUAUAAAAAAAAAAAAAAAAUUAACGAUAUUAAUGUAUUAGAAUUAGAAAGAAAGAGGAGAUCGAUUUGACUGUAAAACUUUUUAUUACGAUCUUCUUUCGAAAUUGGAGCUAUUUGCAAGUGAAUACAAUUCUGUUUAGUAUUGAGAAAAUAUGCGUAUGAAGAUUCGAGUAUUUAGUAUAUUUAACCCUCGGAUGGCAGACCAUAGACGGCGAUGACUAAGUCAUUUCUAGCCGCCUCCUACAUUUAUCAUUUACUUUAUUAAAUUAUGCAUAUUCGAAGAAAAUUAUAGAAUCAUUUAAAAGUUACAUAUGCGAAAACAAUUACAAAAAUACGAGAUAUACAUAUAGAAUAUCGAUAAUCUAAUUUUUAAUAUAAUUCUAUUUCCAAGAUGGAUUUUUCUUUUUCAUUCAAAGCUCUCUUCUUGAACGAUCUAAUUCAACCGAGGGUUAAUUAUCACGUAAUUCGAACGGAAAGAAAUAUAAUUUCAUAUUAUACGUACAUCUGUACCGAAUGAUUGCUCGACGUUUAUGUAUGUACGCGUUUCGCAGCGAAAGGAUUAAAAAAAUCGACGUGGCUCGAUCGCGAGAGAGAAAGACUUGAUCACCGGUUCGGCGUGUUUCAAAAACUGCCAUCGAAUUUCGAGGAAAGUAACCGGGGUCCGCUCGCACGUGUUUACGCGUGCGCCAGCACACGGUACCAAUAUCCACGCGAGUCACCGCUUUAUUUUCCACCGUUACAUCACUGUCGUCAGCGUUUCACUGCCGCUUCACGAUAGUGCGCGCAGUUUAUCGAGCCUCGAGAAAACAAUGAUCCAUCGUGUCCAUCGUGAUUUGCCUUUCCGGUACCGUUCCUCUUCGUCAACCGUAACGUUCCCCACCUUCAUGCUUCGAUUUUCUUCCUUUCUUCAAUUUUAAAAUAAUAUAUUCUGGAAUAUAAAUCCAGGAUGGAUUUUAAAUUUCAAUCAACAAAACGCGUCGAGUUGCUCUUUUUCGGAAUUUAUCUUAAGCGAUUAAUCGAUCAAGAUGGAAUUCCUUCUUUCAGAAUUUGUAAAAAACGAUAACACACUUUUAGAAUUUGUAGAAACGAUAACACGCUUUGUGAAAGUGAACAUUUUAAACGCACGAGGAAUUUUCAAUUUUUUCAUUAAUAAGUCACGUCGAAUCGGUCUUCAGGAAUUUAACUGGGACGAUUAAAUCGACGAAUAGGAAAUUCUUAGAGGUAUUCGAUAAUUAAACGAAGAAUUUCGCGCUCUUGAAAUGCCAAAGUAUGCAAGAACGAACGCGAGGAUCGCGAGGCACUCGACACAUAACUAGCAAACUCCGUGCACUUCAUUCUUGCGCAGCACGUGUUGAUCGUAAACAGUGACUUGCGUCAGCAUACGCGUCCCGCGGAAACUUGUUUUGUCAAUGGGCUGAUGGAUCGCGUGAAAACUAAUGUCGUCGAAGCUAAGGACGGACGAGGAAUAAUCUGAACAAUCAAUAAACAAACCGAGUCACGUUUCCACGAAUUAGACCGAAUAGUCGAGACAAAGAAAUCUACGUCUUUACCUAUUUUUCCAGCCACUUUUCGCUAUUAUCCCACGAUAUGGACGAAUGUCGUGAUAAAUUUUCAUGCGACACUGUGACAUAAUGAAUCUCAUCUUCGUACUGAAGAGACUGAAUUUCACUCGAGCUCACGAAUCGCUGACAUCAUUCCGUUCGUAUUGCGUUUUUAUCAUUUGAAUAUUAUAUACACUUUAUCACACAACGUUUGAAAAUGUUAUGUUCGAUUAUUUAUUUAUUUAGUCUCACCAUUUUGAUUAUAUCACAAUAUCUAUUACUGUAUUCACUGUAUUACUCGUUAUUCUCGUAAUUUUCGCCAUAUUUUGGAAAUAUUACAAUCAACUGGCACUCGUCUCCUUGACUGGAAGGAAUAAAACGACUAACUGGCCGCUCGUUAUCGCGUUGGCGCACUUAACAAGCAGUCGAUAAUAUUUUCCAUACGAUAUUCGUUUCUAUAGUUAGCAACGGGCGAGUAGAUUUUGAUGAAAGUGUAAGAUUAAAGCUAUGUAACACGCAAUGUGAUGGCUGCUCGAGGCUUAAAGACCGGCGAACACGUAAUCGAAAGAGAGGCAGAAGAAGACUGAAGAAAAAGGCGAGUUCGGGACUCACCUUUUUCGCGCGUCGUGAGCGUAGUUUCUUAUCGUGUGCUGCCUGUAAACAUUGCUUACAUCAUCGUGAUUGUCGAUGUUGUCGUCUGUACGCGGGCCACGUUGAUUUCGAACUGGUACCACAGGGCCAACCAGUAUUGUGUGCGAACCUGGCUUCCGGUUUCGGUCAUGACACGUCGCAAUUUCGAAACGGUACUCUUUUCAAAAAGAAGAGAAUCGUUAGAGUGGGAGUUGGAGUUGGUUAAAGUCUUUAAAUGUUUGAUGUGGAAUGGAAAUAAUUUUUGUAUUAAAUUAUUUUAUAUAAUUUCUUGAAAAUUCAGUAAAAAAUCAUUCAGAACUCUCUGAAAUCCAAGUAGCAGGUAUUAUAUGCAUAUGGAAAUUUAUCUUAAACUAUUGGUUCAAAGAUCUUAUGUUAAGUUGAGUAUUUACUCUUUUCAUUGGUGAUCAUUUUCAAUCAAUUGAUUAGACAAUGUACAAAUUCGAAGAUUGAAAAGAAACUAUGUUGUUCAAUUUACAGAGAGAAAAAGAUCAGAAGACUGCCCACGUGUAAUCUAAGAUUCGCUUCCCUUUAUCAUUAAUCAGCAUUUUCAUUAGAACUUAUUAUUUCGGCUAUGAUCCGUAAUUCCUUAACAAUGUAACUUAUGGCAUCCGACAGACUGAUUAGAAUCUCCCUGUCUGUAAUUUCUCCAUAAGGCAGCUGCCAUUUAUCUCAACUGCCAAUAACGACAAUUACUCGCCAUUUGCAAAAUCUUUGGUUGUUUGCUUUUGAGAUUCUUCAUCAAGAAAAAAUUCUUGAAUGACUGGUGCAAGGUCCAAGAAAAAUGAACUUUGAUUUCGAUAUAAGUUUUAAACUUGAUGAUUCAUUGUUUUUUUAUUUUUGAUUUUUUGUCUAAUAUUCUUUUAAUGAAUUUUUUUCUAUUAUGUGUUUUAAUAGAAAAAUGAGAAUGGAAUAAAUUAUA